UACAGAGGUUUCAAGCGUGGUUCGGAUUCAUUGGGCGUAAAGGGUUCGUAGGCGGCGCGGUAAGUCGGGUGUGAAAUCUCGGGGCUUAACUCCGAAACUGCAUUCGAUACUGCCGUGCUUGAGGACUGGAGAGGAGACUGGAAUUUACGGUGUAGCGGUGAAAUGCGUAGAUAUCGUAAGGAAGACCAGUGGCGAAGGCGGGUCUCUGGACAGUUCCUGACACUGAGGCACGAAGGCCAGGGGAGCAAACGGG
rnacentral:rRNA from 1 species